UGUUGAAACAAAAGAGAGAAGGCUUCUUCGAUCUUUCUCAACUUUAUAGUUUCUACCGAAAGUGGAAGAGACGCAAUUUCGGAUUCGGCGAAUAAAGCGCGCCCUACGCAUAUCAUUUGACCCGUUUCGCUUCCUAGAGGACGUUCUUGUUUCUUGUUCCUCAGUUGGUCUCUUGUUCUUGAUUAUUUUUUCUUUUGAUUUUGCAGAUUUAGCAACAGACUCAAUUUGGCGAACUUGGUCGUGUCCUCCGAUAUUCUUCGCAAUUCGAGGGCUGCAAUCUCUGAACUCCAGUCCCAGAUUGACCGCAAUCACGAAAGCCCACCAUCUUCGGAAACCGUGAAAAUCCGAGAAUUCGAAAACCCGGAACACAAAAUCAUUGCUUUUGUGACCGCACCAGUUGCUACAAGUCAUCUCCAAGAAGAGGGCGAUUUAAUCCCUUCUUCUUCAUCAGAGGCCUCCGAGUUUCAGUUUCUCUGCUCUGAGGACAACCCGUCUUUUGCCCAUUAACAAAGCUGCGAUUUCUCUGUUCAACUCUCUCCGGGUUAAUAAGCUCUCCCCCCUGAAAGCUCAGGUUGCAACUUCCUCCAAGUCUGUUCCACACGUUAUAGCUGGAGAUUGAUUGGGUGGAUCCAUUGCCUCUCUUUUCACGUUAUGGCUCCUACACACACUCGGUACAGAAACCAGAAAGUGCCCGCUUUGCAUCACAUUUGGUUCGCCCCUCAUUGGGGACGGUGGCUUCCAACAAGCAGUAUCGCAAAAUCCAACCUGGAGUGCUUGCUUCUUGCAUGUGGUUCAUAAGGAUGACUAUUUCCCCAAAUUCUUUCACCUGUCGACCAUGGAGCAGAGCCUAUACAAGCCUUUUGGAACAUGUCUUGUGUGUUCCGAAUUGGGUAGUGCAUGCUUCAAAGCCUCUAAAUCCAUAAUUGAGUUGCUAGCCCCAAGAAGCCCAGAAAGUGUCCAAAUUUUCAAUUAUCAGAGCAUCAUCAAAUGUCACCAACGGCAAUUGAUUUGCAAGAACUAAUUUAGUAUGCCUCGUACUGAUUUAUUUAAAGCCGGGAUAACUGCGCAAGUUGCAGCAAUUGGCCUUAUGCAAAUUCAGCAACCGCAGAAUAUGGAUAUCGAUGCUCUGUUGAGAGAGAUAGUCAAGUCUGAAAAAGAUGUCCUAGAACAAAAGAAAAAAGCAUUUGAUCCUGCAAAGGAUUUGAAUGACAUGAAAGUGGGCCUGGCUAAUUUGGAAUGGUACAAGAAGAAAUGUGAGAACGACGGCCGGGGUUCUGGUUACUUCAACAGCUUCAAGAACAAAAUGGCUACGUGUGACUAUGAAGCUGUUAAGUUUAUGAAAAAGCUCACUGAUUACUGGGAACAAGUGGUGGAAGACGCGGAGAAGAGGCCUCAGAGAGAGGGAGCACCGUUUCGGAAUCGCUGACUUUUUGGAGGAACAAACUAUCAGAGGUUGGUCGAACCGCUCCACAUAGCUGAGUACUAUAAAUGGGCCAAAAGAGGUUACAUAUCUCAAGGGAGAUCCAAGCACUUCAAGCUAUUGAAAGAGUGGUUGGACAAACAUCCGGAACAGCCAGCAAAGUGUUUCCCUAACGAUUCGAAAUGAAGAAAAUCAUUUCCGUGCUUCUGGGCACAUGUGGAGGAGGCGCAAAUAUCGUGCAGGUUGUUGAACAGCAGAGGAUCGAACAGAACAGAAAUAGCAAAAUUGUUGAACAGCACAGGAUUCGUACUGCUGCUGCUACUGCUGCUGCUCCUGCUGAUGCUCCAAAUGAUCAGAGCAACUCGCUGUUUUCAUGACAGAUGGCGACUGGUACCGGUAUAAAUCAGGUAUCCCAGUAUUUAAAUGUAAAUCAUAGUGUAUCAUAAGAGCAAGAAUGAGGGUGGUUUGCUUGAAUUGAUUCGGAUUGGUCAUCGCGAGUUCAAAAAUUUGGUUCGGAAGGCAUAAUAUAUG